GCUCAGGAUGAACGCUAGCGGGAGGCCUAACACAUGCAAGCCGAGCGGUAGAAGNNNUUCGGNNNUUUGAGAGCGGCGCACGGGUGCGGAACACGUGUGCAACCUACCUUUAUCAGGGGGAUAGCCUUUCGAAAGGAAGAUUAAUACCCCAUAAUAUAUUGAAUGGCAUCAUUCGAUAUUGAAAACUCCGGUGGAUAGAGAUGGGCACGCGCAAGAUUAGAUAGUUGGUGAGGUAACGGCUCACCAAGUCCAUGAUCUUUAGGGGGCCUGAGAGGGUGAUCCCCCACACUGGUACUGAGACACGGACCAGACUCCUACGGGAGGCAGCAGUGAGGAAUAUUGGACAAUGGGUGAGAGCCUGAUCCAGCCAUCCCGCGUGAAGGACGACGGCCCUAUGGGUUGUAAACUUCUUUUGUAUAGGGAUAAACCUACUCUCGUGAGAGUAGCUGAAGGUACUAUACGAAUAAGCACCGGCUAACUCCGUGCCA
rnacentral:rRNA from 1 species